rnacentral:sRNA from 1 species
AACUAGCCCCGAUGGGAACGGCAUCCUUUUGCUUGGCGCGAGGCGGCGGAGCGUAGCGGAGCCGACCGAGCGGCAAAGCAAAAGAUAUAGUGGACAGCGGGAAACAGC